GACGAACGCUGGCGGCGUGCUUAACACAUGCAAGUCGAACGGAAAGGCCCUGCUUUUGUGGGGUGCUCGAGUGGCGAACGGGUGAGUAACACGUGAGUAACCUGCCCUUGACUUUGGGAUAACUUCAGGAAACUGGGGCUAAUACCGGAUAGGAGCUCCUGCUGCAUGGUGGGGGUUGGAAAGUUUCGGCGGUUGGGGAUGGACUCGCGGCUUAUCAGCUUGUUGGUGGGGUAGUGGCUUACCAAGGCUUUGACGGGUAGCCGGCCUGAGAGGGUGACCGGCCCAAUGGGGCAUGAGAAACGGCCCAGACCCCUGGGGGGGGCAGGGGGGGGGAAAUUUGCACAAGGGGGGGAAGCCGGAUGCAGAAACGCCGGGUGGGGGAUGAGGGCCUUCGGGUUGUAAACCGUUUUCCCCUGGGACGAAGGGGGGGGGAGGGAAAUGGGUAAAGAAGCCCCGGCUAACUACGG
rnacentral:rRNA from 1 species